rnacentral:misc_RNA from 1 species
UCUCCGUUGGUGAACCAGCGGAGGGAUCAUUACCGAGUGUAAAAACUCCCAAACCAUUGUGAACCUACCACUGUUGCUUCGGCGGCCUCGCCCCGGGCGCGUUCGCGCGGCCCGGACCCAGGCGCCCGCCGGAGGCCCCAAACUCUUAUGUCUUUAGUGGUUUUCUCCUCUGAGUGACACAUAAACAAAUAAAUAAAAACUUUCAACAACGGAUCUCUUGGUUCUG